UACGUAGGGUGCAAGCGUUGUCCGGAAUUAUUGGGCGUAAAGAGCUCGUAGGCGGUUCGUCGCGUCGGCUGUGAAAACCUGAGGCUCAACCUCAGGCCUGCAGUCGAUACGGGCGGACUUGAGUACUGCAGGGGAGACUGGAAUUCCUGGUGUAGCGGUGAAAUGCGCAGAUAUCAGGAGGAACACCAUGGCGAAGGCAGCUCGCUGGGACGGUACUGACGCUGAGACGCGAAAGCGUGGGGAGCAAACAGG
rnacentral:rRNA from 1 species